rnacentral:rRNA from 1 species
AGCGAACGCUGGCGGCAGGCUUAACACAUGCAAGUCGAGCGGGCAUAGCAAUAUGUCAGCGGCAGACGGGUGAGUAACGCGUGGGAACGUACCUUUUGGUUCGGAACAACACAGGGAAACUUGUGCUAAUACCGGAUAAGCCCUUACGGGGAAAGAUUUAUCGCCGAAAGAUCGGCCCGCGUCUGAUUAGCUAGUUGGUGAGGUAAUGGCUCACCAAGGCGACGAUCAGUAGCUGGUCUGAGAGGAUGAUCAGCCACAUUGGGACUGAGACACGGCCCAAACUCCUACGGGAGGCAGCAGUGGGGAAUAUUGGACAAUGGGCGCAAGCCUGAUCCAGCCAUGCCGCGUGAGUGAUGAAGGCCCUAGUGUUGUAAAGCUCUUUUGUGCGGGAAGAUAAUGACGGUACCGCAAGAAUAAGCCCCGGCUAACUUCGUG